rnacentral:rRNA from 1 species
CCUCAGUAGCGGCGAGCGAAGCGGGAAGAGCCCAAAAUGAAAAGCCAGCUUGCUGGCGUUGUAGUUGAGCGUCUUUGGGGUGUCAGUUCGGGAAAGUGGCAUGGAAAUGCGCGCCGAGGAGGGUGAUAGCCCCGUCCAUCCCGUUCAGGACACUUCGCACUAAGGCGUUUCAGACGAGUCGGGUAGCUUGGGAAUGCUGCUCUAAUUGGUGGUAAAUCUCAUCAAAGGCUAAAUAAUGGUGGGAGACCGAUAGCGAACAAGUACCGUGAGGGAAAGAUGAAAAGCACUUUGAAAAGAGGGUAAAAAGAACCUGAAACCGUUACGGGGGAAGCGGAUUGCGUUGGCCUGGUGGCUACCUGUGUGUUCAGCCUGGUGCAUUGAUGCAGGUGGUUAUUCGUUGUGGCUUUUUAGCGACUGAUAUUGAGUUGCUGAAGGGUGAGGGCUCCCGGUGAGGACGACGGAGUGACGACGCGAUACGACCCGUCUUGAAACACGGACCAAGGAGUCUAGCGCGGGUGCGAGUCAGAGGGUAGCCCCGUGGGCGAAGUGAAAGCGAGACGAGCAGUUUGGGGCGGCAUAGAAUCGUUGAUUCUAGGUCUGACCUUGAGCAGUUGCGCUGGGACCCGAAAGAUGGUGAACUAUGCCGGAGUAGGGCGAAGCCAGAAGAAAUUCUGGUGGAGGCUCGUAGCGGUGCUGACGUGCAAAUCGCUCGUCGAACUUGGGUAUAGGGGCGAAAGACUAAUCGAACCAUCUAGUAGCUGGUUUCCUCCGAAGUUUCUCUCAGGAUAGCAGGCCGACAUGCGUUGUUUUGUGCGGUAAAGCGAAUGAUUAGCGCAUUCGGGGGCGUUUAGCCUUCGGGCGAUUCUCAAACUUUAAAUGCGCAAGGGUACCGGUGCUUUGUUGAGCGGUACCGGUAAAAACGUCGGCCUUGUGGGCCACUUUUGGUAAGCAGAACUGGCGAUACGGGAUGAACCGUAAGCAUGGUUAAGGUGCCAAACUGCCCGCUUAUAGAUCCCACAAAAGGUGUUGAUUCAUCGAGACAGCAGGACGGUGGCCAUGGAAGUCGGAACCCGCCAAGGAGUGUGUAACAACUCACCUGCCGAAUGAAUUAGCCCUGAAAAUGGAUGGCGCUUAAGCGGGCGACCGACACCAUGCCGUCUGCAGAUGAGUAGGAGGACGUGGCGGCUGUGUCGAAGCAUGCGUGCAGACGCGUGUGAAACAGCCGCUAGUGCAGAUCUUGGUGGUAGUAGCAAAUAUUCAAGCGAGAUCCUUGAAGGGCGAAGCGGGGAAGGGUUCCACGCGAACAUUGAUUGGGCGUGGGUGAGUCGUUCCUAAGCCGAGUGGCAAUUGCUAAGUAACGGCGAAAGGGAAGCAGGUUGACAUUCCUGCACACGGAUGUGGAGGCGGUGACGCUUUAAUGAGGGCGAACACGCCGGCGAUGGCGCUGGGCAGAGUUUUCUUUUCUGUUUGACCGCUGUAGCAUGCGGUGUGGAAUCCGCUUGUCGGGAGAAACACGCAUGUUCGGGCAGAGCGCCGGGGCUAUUCCGGCGUCCAGCUCGCCAUCGACGGCCCUUGAAACUUUGCCUGCUGGAAAGAUCCACGCCGUGGCGUACCGAUCACCGCAUCAGGUCCCCAAGGUGAACAGCCUCUGCUCGAUAUGAACAAUGCAGGUAAGGGAAGUCGGCAAAUUGGACCCGUAACUUUGGGAAAAGGGUUGGCUCUAGUGCUGCGUGGGAGUGGUUGUCGGGUGUUGGCGUUUACGGACUUGCUGAGCGAUGUUUAAUCGGCGAGUCUGGAUUCGCCACGCUCGACGACGCCCACAGCAUGCAGCAAACUAGAACUGCAACGGGCAAAGGGAAUCCGACUGUUUAAUUAAAACAAAGCAUUGCGAAGGCCGUGGCCGGUGAUGACGCAAUGUGAUUUCUGCUCAGUGCUCUGAAUGUCAAAGUGAAGAGAUUCAAUCAAGCGCGGGUAAACAGCGGGAGUAACUAUGACUCUCUUAAGGUAGCCAAAUGCCUCGUCAUCUAAUUAGUGACGCGCAUGAAUGGAUUAACGAGAUUCCUACUGUCCCUAUCUGCUUCUAGCGAAACCACAGCCGAGGGAACGGGCUCGGCGAAAUCGGCGGGGAAAGAAGACCCUGUUGAGCUUGACUCUAUUCUAAUUUUGUGAAGCAAGCUGGGAGGUGUAGAAUAGGUGGGAGAUCGUCCGUGAAAUACCACUACUCCCAGUCUUGCUUUACUUACUGGGUGGGUGUGGAUGAGUCUUACGACUCUUUUCUGGAACCAACUCGAGGACCACAGCCCAGUACACAUUUAGGAGGGGAGUUUGGCUGGGGCGGUACAUCUUCUACAAGACAACGAAGGUGUCCAAAGAUAAGCUCAGUGAGAACAGAAAUCUCACGUAGCGCAAAAGGGUAAAAGCUUGUUUGAUUUUGAUUUUCAGUGCGAGUCAAAAACGCGAAAGCGUGGCCUAUCGAUCCUUUCACGAUUCGAGAUUUGAAGCGAGAGGUGUCAGAAAAGUUACCACAGGGAUAACUGGCUUGUGGCGGCCAAGCGCUCAUAGCGACGUCGCUUUUUGAUCCUG